rnacentral:rRNA from 1 species
AUGAACCAUGAAUACAAAAGAUCGGAAAUGUCCGUUCGUUCUUCUCCACCUGAUGACAAAGUGCCCGGUCUCAAUGAUAAUAAAAGGUUGAAGGAUGUGGCUGAACUAAGCAGGGUAAUCCGAGAAGGAUUGAAUAAGGGUAAGACUUGCGAGGAUGAUCGUGUUGAUGAAAGUGAUUCUAUAGAAGUGAAAGAUCUGGGCCAUUCAUCUAUGGGGGGCUAUUUGCUCUUCUUGUGCAACCUUCUUCUUCAUCCUUCUGCGGAUCCUGCAUUUUUUUUUACUUCUCCCAAGGAAAGUAAUAGUCAAGCACUAUGCUCCCAGGCAACAACACCAGAAAAAGCUUUGCAAAAAUGA